rnacentral:rRNA from 1 species
UACAGAGGUCUCAAGCGUUGUUCGGAUUCAUUGGGCGUAAAAGGGUGCGUAGGCGGCGCGGUAAGUCGGGUGUGAAAUCUCGGAGCUUAACUCCGAAACUGCAUUCGAUACUGCCGUGCUUGAGGACUGGAGAGGAGACUGGAAUUUACGGUGUAGCGGUGAAAUGCGUAGAUAUCGUAAGGAAGACCAGUGGCGAAGGCGGGUCUCUGGACAGUUCCUGACGCUGAGGCACGAAGGUCAGGGGGAGCAAACGGG